rnacentral:rRNA from 1 species
UAAAACGACUCUCGGCAACGGAUAUCUCGGCUCUCGCAUCGAUGAAGAACGCAGCGAAAUGCGAUACUUGGUGUGAAUUGCAGAAUCCCGUGAACCAUCGAGUCUUUGAACGCAAGUUGCGCCCCAAGCCUUCUGGCCGAGGGCACGUCUGCCUGGGUGUCACAA